GUGAUAUUCCAAGUCUGGCCGCAGUGAACCUGACAGAAACCUUUGUUCCUAAAUAUCAUGGGCCACAUAAACUUCUGGCAUCUCUCGACUGUCCUCAGCUCACUCAGACCCCCAGCAGUACUUUCACAGACUUGUAUGGGGUCUCAACUAACUGAUGAAUCCACAUGUAGAAGUUUAUGUUCCAAACAGAGACCAACUUCACCUGGAGCUGAGACUUGGUCAGUCAUGGCUUUACUGUCCUUGAUGUUGUGAUCUUGUUCUCCAGCACGAUCCUGUUUACAGCCUGUGAUGGCUACGGCCACACAUCACCUCAGUUCUAAACAUUUGAUUAUUGUUUUAUUAUUUCAACUCCUUAGUUUGUUGCACUGAUUAUUAUUUACAGUCAUCUAAACUAUGAUAUCUAAAUAAGGAACACAAUACAGUUUUUUGAUUUGGUUUAUUUUGCUUUACCUUUAUAUAUCGAUUUACAGGGAGUGCACUAAUCACAUGUUUCUUUGUGUUGAGUUACCUGGACCUGUUGGGGGCGGUCCCUUCCUGGUUGGGCAAAAGGAGUUGCUAAGGGCUGAGGAGACCUAUAUCCGGGAGCCAGCUCAUUGGGCCAUACCAUGUUUCACCAUGUGCCAGGGGGGAUUUGUCAAGCUGUUAUAUAAGCUUUCUUCUGUGUCUUUGUGGCAGGAAAUGUCUUACCAGUACACAAGGAUAGUUUUGUGAUUGUACCUCUGGUGUCAGAAUUCAGGAACGAAGCAUGGGAGGCAAAAAACGUUGAACAGGCAAAAACCACAAGACUCUGUGUACAUGAAUGAUGAGGCAGAGAGAAUUGAGUAUGUACUGAAUGAUAUGGGCAAACUCUACAAUGGAACUGAGCAACAGAUUGGUACCAGAACCUGGAAUUUUGGAAAGUUUGAUUAAGGAGUCUUGACUGCGUGUUUCUUUGUGUUGGAGAAGAGUGGCAGCCCUUGCUCAGGAUGUUGAGAUCCUAUUAAUGUAGUCAGUGUGAUAUCUGCCAUGGU